rnacentral:rRNA from 1 species
AUUGAACGCUGGCGGCAGGCCUAACACAUGCAAGUCGAACGAGUGGCGGACGGGUGAGUAAUGUGUGGGAAUCUGCCUGAUAGGGGGGGAUCACAUGGGGAAGCGAGCGCUAAUACCGCAUAAUCUGGUAUACGCCUAUGUGGGAUGAGCUAGUAGGUGGGGUAAAGGCUCACCAAGGCGACGAUCCCUAGCUGGUCUGAGAGGAGGAUCAGCCACACUGGAACUGAGACACGGUCCAGACUCCUACGGGAGGCAGCAGUGGGGAAUAUUGCACAAUGGGCGCAAGCCUGAUGCAGCCAUGCCGCGUGUAUGAAGAAGGCCUUCGGGUUGUAAAGUACUUUCAGUGGGGAGGCGUUACCCACAGAAUAAGCACCGGCUAACUCCGUGCCAGCAGCCGCGGUAAUUC